GUCCAGGGUAGCCUAGUGGACAUGGCACCUGCCCGGUAAGCGGAACACUGUGGGUUCGGUUUCCCUCCCUGGACA
rnacentral:tRNA from 1 species